rnacentral:rRNA from 1 species
AACGCGAAGAACCUUACCUGGGCUCGAAGCACAGUGGACCGGGGUAGAAAUAUCCCUUUUCGCAAGAACUGCUGUGGAGGUGCUGCAUGGCUGUCGUCAGCUCGUGUCGUGAGAUGUUGGGUUAAGUCCCGCAACGAGCGCAACCCUUAUCGUUAGUUGCCAGCGGGUUAUGCCGGGCACUCUAGCGAAACCGCCUCGGAUAACGGGGAGGAAGGUGGGGAUGACGUCAAGUCCUCAUGGCCUUUAUGUCCAGGGCUACACACGUGCUACAAUGGCCGGUACAAACCGUCGCAAACCCGCGAGGGGGAGCUAAUCGGAAAAAGCCGGCCUCAGUUCGGAUUGGAGUCUGCAACUCGACUCCAUGAAGCUGGAAUCGCUAGUAAUCGCGGAUCAGCACGCCGCGGUGAAUACGUUCCCGGGCCUUGUA